AGUGAACGCUGGCGGUAGGCCUAACACAUGCAAGUCGAACGGCAGCACAGUAAGAGCUUGCUCUUACGGGUGGCGAGUGGCGGACGGGUGAGGAAUACAUCGGAAUCUACUUUUUCGUGGGGGAUAACGUAGGGAAACUUACGCUAAUACCGCAUACGACCUACGGGUGAAAGCAGGGGAUCUUCGGACCUUGCGCGAUUGAAUGAGCCGAUGUCGGAUUAGCUAGUUGGCGGGGUAAAGGCCCACCAAGGCGACGAUCCGUAGCUGGUCUGAGAGGAUGAGCAGCGACACUGGAAGUGAGACAGGGUCCAGACUCCUACGGGAGGCAGCAGUGGGGAAUAUUGGACAAUGGGCGCAAGCCUGAUCCAGCAAUACCGCGUGGGUGAAGAAGGCCUUCGGGUUGUAAAGCCCUUUUGUUGGGAAAGAAAAGCAGCAGGUUAAUACCCCGCUGUUCUGACGGUACCCAAAGAAUAAGCACCGGCUAACUUCGUG
rnacentral:rRNA from 1 species